rnacentral:rRNA from 1 species
GAUGAACGCUGGCGGCGUGCCUAAUACAUGCAAGUCGAGCGAACGGACGAGAAGCUUGCUUCUCUGCUGUUAGCGGCUGACGGGUGAGUAACACGUGGAUAACCUACCUAUUAGACUGGGAUAACUUCGGGAAACCGCAUCUAAUACCGGAUAAUAUUUUGAACCGCAUGGUUCAAAAGUGAAAGACGGUCUUGCUGUCACUUAUAGAUGGUUCCGCGCUGCAUUAGCUAGUUGGUAAGGUAACGGCUUACCAAGGCAACGAUGCGUAGCCGACCUGAGAGGGUGAUCAGCCACACUGGAACUGAGACACGGUCCAGACUCCUACGGGAGGCAGCAGUGGGGAAUCUUCCGCAAUGGGCGAAAGCCUGACGGAGCAACGCCGCGUGAGUGAUGAAGGUCUUCGGAUCGUAAAACUCUGUUAUUAGGGAAGAACAUAUGUGUAAGUAACUGUGCACAUCUUGACGGUACCUAAUCAGAAAGCCACGGCUAACUACGUG